GUUAAGUAGAUGGGAACUAAGAUGUCUCCUGAGCCCACAUGGAAACUUCACUGUCUCCAUCCUACUGAAUGCUCUGUGCAAAAUACCACUGCAUCAAAGAAGCCAAAUGUCCUGAACUCCAUGAGAGAAAACCACAGAUGACACAGCUCUGGGACGGAUCCCUGAACAGACUAGCUCUGAACCCCCAGUGCCUCUCUGCCCGGGGCCAUCUCCAAGACAGUGCAGGGCCCAGAACAAAUUCUACUCUCCACCCCCUAAUCUUUCUCUAUAAGGAAGAUCAGGUUAAAUGAAUGUACAGCAAGGGGAGCAGAAAACCAGAAGAUGGUCACACAAAGACACCAUGACGCUGAAAGCGAGGACCAGGGGGGAGGUUUGUGCUUAUACAUAUGUCAACAAGGCAGCGUUGGUUUAAAAGCAUCUGUAUUCCGGCAUCCCAGACAAACAGUUCUGCCUGACAACAGCUGAAGUCCAAGAUUCGACUUGAGAUUGAUUGCACCAACCUGAUUGGAAUAAACCACAAGAGAUACCUUCCUGGCCACUCCCCAAACCCGAACUGAUGCCUCUGGAACUUGUACCUUCCCUUGGUUUGGUUGU